rnacentral:rRNA from 1 species
AGGGUUUGAUCCUCGCUCAGAGCGAACGCUGGCGGCGUGCCUAACACAUGCAAGUCGCACGAGAAAGGGGUGGCAACACCCCCGGUAAAGUGGCGAACGGGUGAGUAACACGUGGGUAACCUACCCCCGGGUCAGGAAUAACCUGCCGAUAGGCGGGCUAAUACCGGAUGAUGACCGGGGAUCUUCGGAUUCCCUGUCCAAAGCUGACCUCUUCACGAAAGUUGGCGCCUGGGGAGGGGCCCGCGCCCCAUUAGCUAGUUGGUGAGGUAACGGCUCACCAAGGCUUCGAUGGGUAGCCGGCCUGAGAGGGCGACCGGCCACAGUGGAACUGAGACACGGUCCACACUCCUACGGGAGGCAGCAGUGAGGAAUCUUGCGCAAUGGGCGAAAGCCUGACGCAGCGACGCCGCGUGGACGAUGAAGGCCUUCGGGUCGUAAAGUCCUGUCGGGUGGGAAGAAUUGGUCCGGAGCUAAUAUCUCCGGAUCUUGACUGUACCAUCAGAGGAAGCCCCGGCUAACUCCGUGCCAGCAGCCGCGGUAAUACGGAGGGGGCCAGCGUUGCUCGGAAUUAUUGGGGCGUAAAGGGCGUGUAGGCGGGCCGAACAAGUUUUGAUGUGAAAUCCCACGGCUCAACCGUGGAAUUGCAUCUCAUACUGCCCGGCUAGAGUCUGGGAGAGGGAAGUGGAAUUCCCGGUGUACCGGGUGAAAUGCGUAGAUUUCGGGAGGAACACCAGUGGCGAA